GAUGAACGCUAGCUACAGGCUUAACACAUGCAAGUCGAGGGGCAUCAUGGCGGUCGCUUGCGACCGCUGAUGGCGACCGGCGCACGGGUGAGUAACACGUAUCCAACCUGCCGAUGACUCGGGGAUAGCCUUUCGAAAGAAAGAUUAAUACCCGAUGGCAUAGUUCUUCCGCAUGGUAGAACUAUUAAAGAAUUUCGGUCAUCGAUGGGGAUGCGUUCCAUUAGCUUGUUGGCGGGGUAACGGCCCACCAAGGCAUCGAUGGAUAGGGGUUCUGAGAGGAAGGUCCCCCACAUUGGAACUGAGACACGGUCCAA
rnacentral:rRNA from 1 species